rnacentral:lncRNA from 1 species
GUUGCCCAAGGUGACAAGCCAAGAGGGGGGGGAUGAAUUGGUUUCUCUUAAUUUUAACUAUCUUACUUAUGUCAAUUGAUGAGUUAGUGGAAUUAAACAAAGCACAAUACAAACAACAAGAAGUAUAGUGGUUCGGUGCUCUCCUAAGCACCUACGUCCACUCCCCAAGCGACCCCUUGGGAAUUCACUAUAAUCCCGCGGAUUACAGUUGGAUU